rnacentral:rRNA from 1 species
UAGGGGUUCUGAGAGGAAGGUCCCCCACACUGGUACUGAGACACGGACCAAACUCCUACGGGAGGCAGCAGUGGGGAAUAUUGCACAAUGGGGGAAACCCUGAUGCAGCGACGCCGCGUGAGCGAAGAAGUAUUUCGGUAUGUAAAGCUCUAUCAGCAGGGAAGAAAAUGACGGUACCUGACUAAGAAGCCCCGGCUAACUACGUGCCAGCAGCCGCGGUAAUACGUAGGGGGCAAGCGUUAUCCGGAUUUACUGGGUGUAAAGGGAGCGUAGACGGUGAAGUAAGUCUGGAGUGAAAGGCGGGGGCCCAACCCCCGGACUGCUCUGGAAACUAUUUGACUGGAGUGCAGGAGAGGUAGGCGGAAUUCCUAGUGUAGCGGUGAAAUGCGUAGAUAUUAGGAGGAACACCAGUGGCGAAGGCGGCUUGCUGGACGAUGACUGACGUUGAGGCUCGAAAGCGUGGGGAGCAAACAGGAUUAGAUACCCUGGUAGUCCACGCAGUAAACGAUGAAUGCUGGCUGUCCGGGGGGACUGACCCCUGGGUGGCGAAGCGAAAGCGAUAAGCAUUCCACCUGGGGAGUACGCCGGCAACGGUGAAACUCAAAGGAAUUGACGGGGGCCCGCACAAGCGGAGGAACAUGUGGUUUAAUUCGAUGAUACGCGAGGAACCUUACCCGGGAUUGAAAUGUAGAUGACUGAUGGUGAAAACCGUCUUCCCUUCGGGGCUUCUAUGUAGGUGCUGCAUGGUUGUCGUCAGCUCGUGUCGUGAGAUGUUGGGUUAAGUCCCGCAACGAGCGCAACCCUUAUUGUUAGUUGCUACGCAAGAGCACUCUAGCGAGACUGCCGUUGACAAAACGGAGGAAGG